rnacentral:rRNA from 1 species
CGAGUUUGAUCCUGGCUCAGAACGAACGCUGGCGGCAUGCUUAACACAUGCAAGUUGAACGGUAACAUGCCCUUCGGGGUGAUGACGAGUAGCAAACGGGUGAGUAAUGCUUAGAUAAUCUACCUUAAAGACUGGGAUAGCUACGGGAAACUGUAGGUAAUACCGGAUAAGCUCACGAAUCAAAAGAUUUGGGAGAAAAUAGUGGGGACCCUUCGGGGCCUAUUGCUUUAAGAUGAGUCUAAGUCCUAUCAGCUAGUUGGUGGGGUAAUGGCCUACCAAGGCAGUGACGGGUAGCCGGCCUGAGAGGGUGAACGGCCACACUGGAACUGAGACACGGUCCAGACUCCUACGGGAGGCAGCAGUGAGGAAUUUUCCGCAAUGGGCGAAAGCCUGACGGAGCGAUGCCGCGUGAGUGAUGAAGGUUUUCGGAUUGUAAAGCUCUGUUGUUGGAGAAGAAGGGCAUAUGUUUAAUAGAUGUAUGUCUUGACGGUAUCCAACGAGGAAGCCCCGGCUAACUACGUGCCAGCAGCCGCGGUAAUACGUAGGGGGCAAGCGUUGUUCGGAAUUAUUGGGCGUAAAGCGUGUGCAGGUGGUUCUACAAGUUGGAUGUGAAAGGCAAAGGCUCAACCUUUGGAUUGCAUUCAAAACUGUAGUUCUGGAGUAUGGUAGGGAAUAGCGGAAUUCCUGGUGUAGCAGUGAAAUGCGUAGAUAUCAGGAGGAACACCGGAGGCGAAGGCGGCUAUUUGGGCCAAUACUGACACUGAGACACGAAAGCAUGGGGAGCAAACAGGAUUAGAUACCCUGGUAGUCCAUGCCGUAAACGAUGAGAACUAGGCGUAGGGGGGAACAUUCCUUCUGUGCCGCAGCAAACGCAUUAAGUUCUCCGCCUGGGAAGUACGGUCGCAAGAUUAAAACUCAAAGGAAUUGACGGGGGCCCGCACAAGCGGUGGAGUAUGUGGUUUAAUUCGACGAUACGCGAGAAACCUUACCCAAACUUGACAUCUCUUUGCAAGCUCUAUUAAUUGGAGCCCUCCUUCGGGACAAAGAUGACAGGUGGUGCAUGGUUGUCGUCAGCUCGUGUCGUGAGAUGUUGGGUUAAGUCCCGCAACGAGCGCAACCCUUGUAACUAUUUGCCAGCAUUUCGGAUGGGGACUAUAGUUAGACUGCCGGCGACAAGCCGGAGGAAGGUGGGGACGACGUCAAAUCAUCACGCCCUUUAUGUUUGGGGCUACACACGUACUACAAUGGUCGGUACAGCGAGUCGCGACACUGCGAGGUGAAGCUAAUCUCUUAAAACCGGCCCUAGUUCGGAUUGCAGGCUGAAACUCGCCUGCAUGAAGCUGGAAUCGCUAGUAACCGUAAAUCAGCAUGUUACGGUGAAUACGUUCUCGGGCCUUGUACACACCGCCCGUCACACCAUGGAAGAAGGUAACACCCGAAGCCGGUGAGCUAACCCGUCCAGGGAGGCAGCUGUCUAAGGUGGGAUCUUUGACUGGGGUGAAGUCGUAACAAGGUA